AUUGAACGCUGGCGGCAUGCCUUACACAUGCAAGUCGAACGGCAGCACGGGAGCAAUCCUGGUGGCGAGUGGCGAACGGGUGAGUAAUAUAUCGGAACGUGCCCAGUCGUGGGGAUAACGUAGCGAAAGCUACGCUAAUACCGCAUACGAUCUAUGGAUGAAAGCGGGGGAUCGCAAGACCUCGCGCGAUUGGAGCGGCCGAUAUCGGAUUAGGUAGUUGGUGAGGUAAAGGCUCACCAAGCCGACGAUCUGUAGCUGGUCUGAGAGGACGACCAGCCACACUGGGACUGAGACACGGCCCAGACUCCUACGGGAGGCAGCAGUGGGGAAUUUUGGACAAUGGGCGCAAGCCUGAUCCAGCAAUGCCGCGUGCAGGAUG
rnacentral:rRNA from 1 species